ensembl:snoRNA
AGUAGUUGUGUGUGUGUCUUUGCUUAACUUGUAACAAAGCUUAACAGACAGUUGCAAACAGUUAAAUCCUCUUUUGUAACUCAGAACACAUUGUUGAGUAUGAAUUUCUGGUACAUGUGAAAAAGAACAUG